UGACUAGUCCUUGCACUUACGACAGUCCUCACAUUUUACAUUUUUCAUCCUAUCUUGUCACCAUGGUGAAGAGAAGCAGUUGUGAAAUGAGUGACAUGAUUGUUAAGAAUGCUACAACGGGCAUAAAUGUGAGGAUGGUCAUAAGUGUGAGGACCAGUCAAAAGUGCGAGGACCGGUCAGAAAUGACUUUUUUCAGCCCUCUGAGUAGUCCCUAUACACAUAGCCACGGCCACCCGGUCACAUGAUCAGCUAGCCACGUCCAACCGGUCACAUGACCUCCAAGUCAUGCCCACCCAAAUAAGCCGCACCCACAGAACCGGUUGUUAAAAAGACUGAAUCCCACCACUGGUUUGCACUCUAUUUAUAUACAAUAGCUUGCCUUCCCAGUUUUGAUGGAAGUAUGAUUUCCUUUUUGAUAGUUCCUUGAUUAGGAUACCUAAUUAAUUAUCUAAUCAUCUAAUCAGCUCCUUCAUUGCCCUAAUCAAGGAGCUACAAAGGAGAAAACCAUACCCACACCAAUACUUGCUGCCUAUAAUCAAUUGGAUUGAGAUGAAAAAUUAUAGAAAUUGAGUAGGAAGGAAGUUUUCUCCAUGGCUGAAUGCAAACAACAAGGUUCUAAAAACUUGUGCUAGCAUCAGCACUUUUAAUUCAUAAAUGAUUGGGAAUUUAAGAAAUGCAGUUAAUUGGCCAUGUUUUGAUAGCACUGAAGUGGUUAAGAAAUGAAUAUAUGAUUCAGUGCUCUGAUAGAAUCUUUUCAAAUUGCAUAAAUGGGAUUAAAAUGACAAAUACAUUUCACUUUGAGUGUACAGACAGACUUAAAUAUUUAUUUCUUUAUUUUAUAUAUUUAACAUUUAUCUACUCUGCCAUAAUUAAAAAGAUUACAUAGAAUAAUAUAUUGUGACUGGAUCUAAAUGAUCACCCACAGGAGCUGAAGCUGUGGUAGAUAGAUCAGCAUACAACCUCUAUGAAAUGAUAAAAUUCCAUGUUGAGGAUAAUUAUAAAAAGAAACGAAAAUCAAUCUGCCAACAUCACAAUGUCUUUACAUAAAUUAGUGGUAUAUAGUUCAGGUCACUAAACCUCAGAAGGGAUAUUUUAGAGCUGCAAAAGUGGAUUAAAACUGAAUUGGAUUAAAUUAAAGGGAGUAAAGCAAUUUAUCUGGUAUCUGGAAAGGUUACAUUUGGGGUAUCUUAACUUAAGAAAAUAGUAAGUGGGGAUUUGAUAGAAUUGUAUAAUAUUAUAUAUCAUGAGGGGGGAAAAUUCUCUCCCGGUCUCAUUAUAUUAGACUCUGAUAAAAGCAGAAAUAAAACCCUAAUGGGAGAAGAGUAAAAGAAGAACUUGGGUUUUUUUUAACCCAAAUAGGUAUGUGGAUAAAUAUUCAGUAACAUUAACCAAAGAUGGAAUGCAAAUAUUAGAAAACUCCCAAAGUUCUAAGCAACAACAGCUAAAAGUCCUUGUUUUGUAAUAUACCAUGCCUUCAUAACUGAUUUCUAUUGUGAAUUUAUUUUUCUACAUGUUUUUCUGUGUUCCAAACUUUUUUUCCAAGUAAAACUACAUUGAUUUUUUUUUCUUUUUAGCACUCCCAGAUAUAAUAUGUUUUGAUCUAUCCAAUUACCUUGAAUAGAGCUUAUACCUACAAUUCUGCAGUUUACAGCGUCUGGGAAGCCUCAGGUGGCACAGUUAUUUUACUUCCUACUUUCAGUCUCUGCUAGUGUCUUCCUUUAUUACAAUGUCUCCUUGCCCUUGAAAUCCUCUUGCAUGUUUCUACCUUCUGUGCCAGGGAUCCAUUCUGCAAUUACGUCUCCAGUCCUCCGGAACAUCUGUCUCCUGCAUUCCAAGAGUAUGUAGCUGUUUUUCCUAGGUGCUCAACUGUACAGCGUGUGUAUAAAAGAGCAGAAAAGUCAUGGUCCUUCAGAUGUUUCUGGAUCACCUGAUGUGCCCAAUGGUCACAGAUAAUUCAGCUGUAGUAUAAUCAUAGUUGUAGAAGUUCACUUAUUAGUAUUAGCGGUUCCAUUCUGAAGAAAUGUUGAGAAAUGUUGCUUAGGAGAUAGAUUCCUAAUUCUUUUUAUCAGUAUAGAAAGAAUCAUUAUGUUCAGGACUGAAAAGAGUGAACAGAUAACUCACUGCUCUGUAAAUCCCCGGGGCCAGCAUACAGACCUACAGAAUAGCAUGUCAUCCUGAGAAUUCUUUGCAAAUCAUAUUCGUAACUACAGCUUACCAUUCUGCAUUUCCACUUAAGUAUCACAAAUUGGAUUCAUGUCAUAAAAAGGGCACAAAGCCAUACCUGAUUCAAGAAAAUAACCCACAAGAAAACCUAAUUCAAUUGCUUUCAAGUAUCAUAAACUGUCUUGUCAAGCGGCAGAAAUGGAAGGUGUCAAUAGCAAGAUCAUAUUUUAUAGAGCUUAAAACUUUAAAUUCAAGACUCCAUAUUCUGACAAACAGGAAGACUAUAGGAAAAAAAAUUCUAGACAACAUAUAUCUAUAUCUAUCUCUUACAUAUACGCACACAAAAAGCAUCGGUCACUGACAGUAGUGAGAUUUAUAUUGAAAUGCUGAACAUCAAACUCAGAAUUUAAGGUGUACUAGAUAUUAUAGAGAAAGAUGGGGAACCUCAUUCAUGAUGGCUAUUUCAAUGAUAGUUGUCCAUUUAGGGCAAUUACAGGGUCAAAUAAAAUUCGUAGCACUUAGCAAGGUAAAGAAAAGAAUUUUAUUUUAUGAUACUUCUUUGGCUGCCUUGAUUUUGGCACCUAGAAGUAGAACUAAGGUAAAGGUUCCCCUCACACAUAUCUGCUAGUCGUUCCUGACUCUAGGGGGCAGUGCUCAUCUCUGUUUUGAAGCCAAAGAGCCAACACUAUCCAAAGACAUCUCCGUGGUCAUGUGGACGACAUGACUAAAUGCCAAAGGCGCAUAGAACGCUGUUACCUUUCCACCAAAGGUGGUCCCUAUUUUUCUACUUGCAUUUUUUAUGUGCUUUCAAACUGCUAGGUCGGCAGAAGCUGGGACAAGUAACAGGAGCUCACCCCAUUAUGCGGCACUAGGGAUUCGAACUGUUGAACUGCCAACCUUUUGAUCAACAAGCUCAGCAUCUUAGCCACUGAGCCACUGCAUCCCAUUAGAAGUAGAACUAGAGUUCAUUUUACUCUAGCGAACAACUGCAGCAUUAUGUAGAUUGGUUGCCUGUGCUGUAGAGAGUAGGGACAAACAAUGCUGUCUAAGUCAAUUUUAUUCAGGUUCUCACUUUCCCACCCUAGUUAACCAUAGUCUAUUUCUGCAUUGCUUUACCCAUUUGUCAGAAGAAAAAAAGUCAUGCCCUAAUCACUUUUAUAGAAUGUAGUUUUCUAAGUUUCUCCAUAUAAUCUACAUUUCUGUGUGGUAUUUUGGCAUUGCAUACUGCAUUGCCAAGUAAGAUUAUCAGCACAUGUAUGUGCAAAUUCCAGUUCUAGUAUAUGCAAUUUAUUUGCACUAGAUAUGUACAAAUUUGAAAGUAAAAAAUGUGGGGUGUUCAUAUAAAAUAUAAACAGAACAAUUUUCUCCAUCUGGGUUGACCUGAAAAAAAAAAUUGGCCAGCAACUCUUUUGAGUCAAAGUAGGGUUAAUAUUUGUUUAUAAAAAUCCUAGACAAAUAAAACUGUGAUUUUGAGUCUUUCAUUGCUUGGUUAUAAUUGCAAAUAUUCUACCUAAUUAUAUACCAUAGCUUUUGAAGAAAAUACUUAUUUUCAUCCUAAAAAUAAUCGUAGAUCAUGUAUUAUGAAACUUUUUUCUCUCUUUUUUUCUCAUCCUUAUCCUCCAAUGAGGAAAAUCCUGAUGAGCCUUGGUGGCGCAGCAGACUAAAGUGCUGUUAAGUAACACCAGCUUCCUGCAAUUACUGCAAGUUCAAAUCUCACCAGGCUCAAGGUUGACUCAGCCUUCCAUCCUUUCGAGAUUCAGAACUCGUUUACAAGAUUCUUGGUGACCUGCACCAACCCUGUGGACUCUGUUUACGGCUGCCAUCUUAAGACACUGGUUAAAAAGACUCUUUUCUUCUAAAAGUUCUGCCUGAGCUUGCCCUGUCAUUGGACUUGGCAGGCAUCCAGCUUGCUUUCAGCAAGUAGUGGUACCGCAGAUAAGAAGCAAUCAGUUGUCAAUUGGAUAGAUGUGGGCAAAAGGUAGAGCUACAUAUGUAUAUAAAUCUCUAUACAACUUGCAGUGAAUCAGCGGAGACAUCUAAUUUCACGCUGCUACUGUUACACAACUAAGAAUUAGAAACCAUUUGUUCUGUCUGCCAAUCCCUAUAUUGGCUGGGAUUUCCCCCAGAAAUCUGGGUGCCUUUCAACUGAUAGCAUUCUGGAGGGUCUUGAAGACAUGGCUAUUCUCUCUGGCCUGCCUUGGGUUAGGAUGGAUGGACCGCCUUGUGAGUUCUAUUGUUGCUGGACAGACUUGCUAUCUUGUUCUUUGUUUUUUAACAUCUGGUUUUGUUGGUUUUGUUUUUAUAAACUGUGGGUUUGUUUUGUGUAAUCAGAUGGUGCCUAAAUUGAAUGAAUUAAAUUUAAAUUAAAUUCAGGAAACAUUACCAGUUCAAAUUGCUGCUGGUGACCUUCCAGGCCAUGCAUACAAGAAUACCCCGUUAUUUGAAUAACCUGAUUGCAAUUCGGGCUUCUGUGUGCUGGACUCUGCUGUGCAAUCAGGGGCACUUAGUUUUCCUUCCUGUCCAAAUGAUUUAGAGCUUUCUCCCAGCUACCUCCUACUCUUUAAAAUUGACUCUCCUUUGAACUACUUUACAAGUUCGAUCUCCUGAGGUUUAAAAAGGCCCUUAAAACACUUUUUUCAGGACCUUGAUGAAGAUAGAAGAACCUUUCCUUUUAGUGGCACAAAUCAAUAUCAUUUUUAAUUGUGGCUGUACUGGGAUUGGAUCGUGUUUUAAAUUAUCAUACUGUAGUAAAUGAUGAGAUGGGUUGU